rnacentral:piRNA from 1 species
UGUCAAUGCUUCCUGUACAGUUGCUUGAUGC